UGGGGAAUUUUGGACAAUGGGCGAAAGCCUGAUCCAGCAAUGCCGCGUGUGUGAAGAAGGCCUUCGGGUUGUAAAGCGCUUUUGUCCGGAAAGAAAUCCUUGGCUCUAAUACAGUCGGGGGAUGACGGUACCGGAAGAAUAAGCACCGGCUAACUACGUGCCAGCAGCCGCGGUAAUACGUAGGGUGCAAGCGUUAAUCGGAAUUACUGGGCGUAAAGCGUGCGCAGGCGGUUUGCUAAGACCGAUGUGAAAUCCCCGGGCUCAACCUGGGAACUGCAUUGGUGACUGGCAGGCUAGAGUAUGGCAGAGGGGGGUAGAAUUCCACGUGUAGCAGUGAAAUGCGUAGAGAUGUGGAGGAAUACCGAUGGCGAAGGCAGCCCCCUGGGCCAAUACUGACGCUCAUGCACGAAAGCGUGGGGAGCAAACAGGAUUAGAUACCCUGGUAGUCCACGCCCUAAACGAUGUCAACUAGUUGUUGGGGAUUCAUUUCCUUAGUAACGUAGCUAACGCGUGAAGUUGACCGCCUGGGGAGUACGGUCGCAAGAUUAAAACUCAAAUGAAUUGACGGGGUCAUAGCUG
rnacentral:rRNA from 1 species